rnacentral:rRNA from 1 species
UACGGAGGGUGCGAGCGUUAAUCGGAAUUACUGGGCGUAAAGCGUGCGCAGGCGGUUUUGUAAGACAGUGGUGAAAUCCCCGGGCUCAACCUGGGAACUGCCAUUGUGACUGCAAAGCUAGAGUGCGGCAGAGGGGGAUGGAAUUCCGCGUGUAGCAGUGAAAUGCGUAGAUAUGCGGAGGAACACCGAUGGCGAAGGCAAUCCCCUGGGCCUGCACUGACGCUCAUGCACGAAAGCGUGGGGAGCAAACAGG